rnacentral:rRNA from 1 species
UACAGAGGUCCCGAGCGUUUGUUCGGAUUCACUGGGCGUAAAGGGUGCGUAGGUGGUGAGGUAAGUCGGAUGUGAAAUCUCCGGGCUCAACCCGGAAACUGCAUUGGAAACUACCUUGCUUGAGGGUUUGAGGGGGGACUGGAAUUCUCGGUGUAGCAGUGAAAUGCGUAGAUAUCGAGAGGAACACCGGUGGCGAAGGCGAGUCCCUGGAAAACACCUGACACUGAGGCACGAAAGCUAGGGGAGCAAACAGG